rnacentral:misc_RNA from 1 species
GAACUGCGAUAAGUAGUGUGAAUUGCAGAAUUCAGUGAAUCAUCGAGUCUUUGAACGCACAUUGCGCCCCCUGGUAUUCCGGGGGGCAUGCCUGUCCGAGCGUCAUUGCUACCCUCACGCCCGGCUAGUGAGUUGGGCCGCCGUCCCCCCUGCUCCGGGGGGGACGGGCCCGAAAGGCAGCGGCGGCACCGCGUCCGAUCCUCGAGCGUAUGGGGCUCUGUCACCCGCUCUGCAGGACCGGCCGGCGCCAGCCUGGCAACCUCUUCUUACCAGGUUGACCUCGGAUCAGGUAGGGAUACCCGCUGAACUUAA